AUGGUGGGCCCCAGAGCCAGAGCCUGGCCACAGCAGAGAUCCCACUGGCUGGGGGGAAGGGGGGGGCUCUUUCUGAAGGAUCCUCCUGGACUGUGGGGAGCCCGCCUCCUGAGGGCAGGAGAUGCCGGGGACCCCCGGCCCCCAGUGCUCCCCCGCCCCCGACACCUUUCUUGGUGCUGCCAGGGAAUGGCCAGCCAGGGGGAGCUCCCCGUCCCGGGAGGCUCCCAAAGGGCAAGAGCCGGGUGUAGCUGCAGCGGCCCCCUGCCGUGCCCACCCCCAGCGGGGGGCCCGCGUGCCCUCCUCCCUCGGACCCCCGGCUGCCCUCCUCCUUUCCCCUCUUAUGUCCUUCCGGCCUUCCCUCCCCCUGCCCGCAGAGAAGGGCCCAGUUUGUUAGGGAGGGAGGCCUGGGACCCGACCUCAGGAGGCAGAGCCCUUGGACUUCCUGGCCCAGAACCACCCCAGGUCCGCCUCGGGGGCUGCUCCCUGACUCCUGGGAUUCCCCUCGGGCGGGGGCCAGGACCCAGCCCCCAACCUCCCCCAUCCCAGCCUCGGGCCUCCGCUCCCAGUCACUCUGGCUUUGUCUUGGUUGUUCAUUUUCUCCCUCCCUCUCUUCCUCAUUUCCCUCCCUCCCCCCUCCUUUCUCUCCCUUCCCUCCCCGUCCCUCCUAUACUUGGGCCCCUCGGGAGGCACAGUGGCUCCGGCUCCUUCCCUUUGCACACAUUUCCGGGGAUUGAGGAGACCCCGCUCGUCGGUGGGAGGGGCCAUUGUUGGCCAGUGGCCGGCGGGGACCCCGACGCUGGGCUCGCAGACGCACCUGCCCGGAAAGCGCAUGUUUGUUGUUCCUCGGUUUCUCCUGUAACGCCCCAUAAACCCGACUCCAUGUACCUGUUUAACGGAACGGCCGAGCUCUGUCUCGUUCUUCUCGAUCGCUCGUCCCGGGCUCCGAGGGGCCGCAGGGGGUGGGCUGGGGGCAGCGGGAUGGACAGGUCAGGGGGCUCAGCCUUCCGGCCCUUCCCGGACUCUCUCCGGGUUUGGGACCUUGCCCAUGAGCACAGACACGUCCUCCCGCGGGCACAAGGGCACACCGCGGAGGUCUGGCCUAGCGGUUAA
rnacentral:lncRNA from 1 species